GAGAUGGGGCGGAGCAAGGCUGCGCUGCUUCCGGCCAGCUCAGCGUCUAUCCUCCGGACUCGGACCCACUCCUUCACCGCUGCUGGUGGAGUGUCGACGCGGGCUAAGCGGUCCGGCAGGGAGGCAGCCGCCCGCAAGAUCUCGCCUCCCUCCUCCGAGGCCGGUGCCGCUGAAACCUCCGCUGCCUCCACCUCACGGGCCGGGGCCGACUUUGGCUCUCAGGACGCGCCUGAAGUUUCCCCUUCGCAGGCUGAGCGCGUCUCCGAGGCCUGCGCUUCUCAGGGCGGGGCGGGCAAUUCCGAGGAGAGCAGCGAGAGCGGGGAGGCAGCCGGCGGCGCGACUUCCGUCGCUAGCACCAUGCUGGACGUAUUCGGCUCCAUCCCCACCCAGAUGGACUACAAGGGUCAAAAACUAGCAGAACAGAUUUUUCAAGGGAUCAUUCUUGUUUCUGCGGUAAUUGGUUUUAUCUAUGGCUAUAUCGCUGAACAGUUUGGUUGGACUGUCUAUAUAGUUAUGGCUGGGUUUGCUUUAUCGUGCCUGCUAACACUCCCUCCAUGGCCUAUGUACCGCCGCAAUCCUCUGAAAUGGCUACCUGUCCAAGAGUCGGGAACAGAGGAUAAGAAGCCAGCAGAGAGAAAACUGAAAAGGCAUACUAAAAGUUGAAGAAUAUGAACCCUCAUGAUGUAACAUUGGAGAAUUUUGCUUCAUUAAAGAGUCACGUCCGCGGACCACAGAGACAAAAGCUUUCAGUACAUUUUACUCCUGUUAUCUUCGCAGAACCGCCAUAACUAAGGGAGAGUUAUCUUGAUUCAAUUCUGCUUUCUCAAUCACCAGAAGAGAAUCAACUAGAAUCCUUGUUACUUACAACACAUGAGCCAGGAAGAACAGUUUGAGACUUUCAGAUUCCAAGCUGAUUUUUUUCCAUCCAGCUUUUGACUUGCAAACUGAGCUCGAGCUCUGGGACCCUGCAAGGGGUGGUGAGGAAAGAGGAUGAACCCAGAACCUGGGCUCCAGUCCAAGCCAGAACAUCUACACUGCAAUUUUUAGCCCUGCAACACGAGCCUGGGCCACCCACAGCCAUGUCACAGAUCUUUUAUUCCAGUGCACAGUUACUCUGAAAGUCAAAAACAAACCUUAAGAUGCCAUUUUUAGAGUAGCAUUUCAGAAUAUGACCACUCUUGUGAAGGCUGAAUUUCAAAAGUUGAUUUACCUGCAUUGUUGCAAAAUUAGAGUACUACUUGUAGCUGCAAAAUAAGGACCCCAUUCUGUGAUGGGAUCUCUGCAAGUGACUCCUGCAUCUGCACAAAGCCCCAGGUUUUUAGAUGCUGAGUUGAGUCCCAUUUAAAGAUUAAGCCUUAAAGGUGAUCUGCAAAGCUUUACAGCAACUAAAUUAUUUGGAAGUUUUAAAGUUGUAUUUUAAGACAUUGGUAUCUACAAUUUUUUAUGAUUUUAGAUCUUAAAUGGUUAUUUUAGACCUUCAUAGUGUCGGUCACAUAUUGAUAGAUUACCUCAUGGACCACCUUCUCUUCCAUUCACAAUUAGAUGGAGCACCUCCCCUCCAACUGUCAAACAAACAUCAUCCCUGUGGCAACUACAGCAAUUACUUAAGUGGAAAAGUGAUAUUAAAAAUGUAAUUAAUUUUA